GACGAACGCUGGCGGCGUGCCUAAUACAUGCAAGUUGAGCGCUGAAGAUUGGUACUUGUACCAACUGGAUGAGCAGCGAACGGGUGAGUAACGCGUGGGGAAUCUGCCUUUGAGCGGGGGACAACAUUUGGAAACGAAUGCUAAUACCGCAUAAAAACUUUAAACACAAGUUUUAAGUUUGAAAGAUGCAAUUGCAUCACUCAAAGAUGAUCCCGCGUUGUAUUAGCUAGUUGGUGAGGUAAAGGCUCACCAAGGCGAUGAUACAUAGCCGACCUGAGAGGGUGAUCGGCCACAUUGGGACUGAGACACGGCCCAAACUCCUACGGGAGGCAGCAGUAGGGAAUCUUCGGCGAUGGACGAAAGUCUGACCGAGCAACGCCGCGUGAGUGAAGAAGGUUUUCGGAUCGUAAAACUCUGUUGGUAGAGAAGAACGUUGGUGAGAGUGGAAAGCUCAUCAAGUGACGGUAACUACCCAGAAAGGGACGGCUAACUACGUG
rnacentral:rRNA from 1 species